AAGAGUAACGGAGGAGCACGAAGGUUGGCUAAUCCUGGUCGGACAUCAGGAGGUUAGUGCAAUGGCAUAAGCCAGCUUGACUGCGAGCGUGACGGCGCGAGCAGGUGCGAAAGCAGGUCAUAGUGAUCCGGUGGUUCUGAAUGGAAGGGCCAUCGCUCAACGGAUAAAAGGUACUCCGGGGAUAACAGGCUGAUACCGCCCAAGAGUUCAUAUCGACGGCGGUGUUUGGCACCUCGAUGUCGGCUCAUCACAUCCUGGGGCUGAAGUAGGUCCCAAGGGUAUGGCUGUUCGCCAUUUAAAGUGGUACGCGAGCUGGGUUUAGAACGUCGUGAGACAGUUCGGUCCCUAUCUGCCGUGGGCGCUGGAGAACUGAGGGGGGCUGCUCCUAGUACGAGAGGACCGGAGUGGACGCAUCACUGGUGUUCGGGUUGUCAUGCCAAUGGCACUGCCCGGUAGCUAAAUGCGGAAGAGAUAAGUGCUGAAAGCAUCUAAGCACGAAACUUGCCCCGAGAUGAGUUCUCCCUGACUCCUUGAGAGUCCUGAAGGAACGUUGAAGACGACGACGUUGAUAGGCCGGGUGUGUAAGCGCAGCGAUGCGUUGAGCUAACCGGUACUAAUGAACCGUGAGGCUUAACCUU
rnacentral:rRNA from 1 species